rnacentral:rRNA from 1 species
UGGGGAAUAUUGGACAAUGGGGGGAACCCUGAUCCAGCCAUGCCGCGUGUGUGAAGAAGGCCUUAUGGUUGUAAAGCACUUUAAGCGAGGAGGAGGGUACUGGUAUUAAUACUACCAGGUACUGGACGUUACUCGCAGAAUAAGCACCGGCUAACUCUGUGCCAGCAGCCGCGGUAAUACAGAGGGUGCGAGCGUUAAUCGGAUUUACUGGGCGUAAAGCGUGCGUAGGCGGCUAAUUGAGUCGGAUGUGAAAUCCCCGAGCUUAACUUGGGAAUUGCAUUCGAUACUGGUUAGCUAGAGUGUGGGAGAGGAUGGUAGAAUUCCAGGUGUAGCGGUGAAAUGCGUAGAGAUAUGGAGGAAUACCGAUGGCGAAGGCAGCCAUCUGGCCUAACACUGACGCUGAGGUACGAAAGCAUGGGGAGCAAACAGG